AUGACUGGGAAGGUCCUAGUCAUUAAAGCCAUUGUUUACCCGAUCCUGGCAUACAUAGGUAAGGUUUUUCCGCCAAACAUACACACAACAAGACAUAUCAACAAGACCAUCUACAACUUCAUCUGGGGCAGUGACCAGGAGCGGGUAAACAGGCUGACUAUGUGGAAAAAAGAGAACAAAGGGGGUAAGGGGAUCCCAAAUAUUCCACUCUACAUAGCGGUGCAGGGCCUCAGCUACAUCAUCUCCAACAUACGCAGACAGCACAAUAAAGCCGGUUUUUUCCACACAUUCUACUUCUCAACAAUAAUCAGACCAUUGGGGCUCUGCACCCUUGACCAUCGGACCCCUUACUCCUGGGACCCCCCUCUGCACUACAAAGCACUAAAAUCCAUUAUCACCUCGCAACAGCUACACACCCACAAAAGUCAGGACUGGUCAUUCAAAACACUUAGAAAAUUCAUCACGGACAGGGACACAGUUACACCGAUACCAACAUUAACUACCGAACAAUGCACCACAGCCUGGACAAACAUAGCUUCACCUGCACUCAUGAACAGACACACGGACAUAGCGUGGAUGGCGGCCAUACGCUGCCUCCCCACCCGGCAUUUUAUGCACAAAAGGGGAAUAGCCAGAACCGACCAGUGCCCGCACGGCUGUAGAGAGAUAGAAACCGAAGACCACAUCCUCUGGCGGUGCAGGGUGGCAAAAAACAUCUGGCUCAUGACCUCUGCUCUCCUCACCAGGUUGACCGGCACGGCUGCGACGACCCUCCGGGGCAUCCUCUUCGGACCACCAGCGGGACUCCAAUCACCCCAGGAGAGGAACGCCUGGAGGGUCGUCAACGCCACAAAGCAAACCAUUUGGGACACAAGGAACAUAAAGGUUUUUCAUAAACAGGACACUCUCCCCAUCAUCACUGCCAGAAUCAUCCGGAAAACCAUCAUCGAUUACAUCACCCUGGACACCCACCGACUUGGGCAAGACAUCACCAACCGACAAUGGAACAUCAGCACCCCGAACGACAUCAUCAUCACCCCCCCAUCACCAACCUGCCCAACCCCACCACGGUGCCCCCAACCACAAAUCCCAACACCAGCAGCCGAGCAGGGAUCAUGA
rnacentral:lncRNA from 1 species